GGAUGGCGGGGUGGGGGGCCAGAGCGCCCGCAGGCGUGUACGGCAGAAACCAGGGCCUGAGAGGAGAACGGAGAGCGUCCCACUGGAGAAACAGCGGACGUGGAGGGGAAGAAGGCCCAGAGGCGCUUCUCCGGAGCCCGCCACGGCGCCAGUGUCUCCUCAUGUGCCCCUCGGAAGCCUGUUGAGAAACGAGUGAAGACGACACAUCACUAAGAUGAAUGGAUAUCAAAACACCAGCCUUGCCACAGAUAAAAGCUAGUAGGAGGAUGUGGCUUAGAUCUGCAAUCAAGAGAGCUGCUGAUCAACCCCUAAAUCAGACAAACAUACCUGGACAACUGCAGCCUCUGGGCUACAGAGCUGCCCCACCAGGCACCAGUCAGCCAAGUGCGGAUGAGAUGCCCAUCAACCUACAGACUCCACAAAGUUGGCCCAGAGGAGGCUGAGCACACUUGACCCUGUCUGUUCUCCCAAAUUCACCACUUCAUACUUCCCUGGGAGUAGAAAAGAGGCUGGAAGUUUCUUCCAGGAAAGUCCCUCCAUGUGGAAACAAAGAGUGGGAAUAAGGGUUCCACCCUACAUGGACAUCUCAAACUCUGAGUCUUACCAUGCUAAAGGAGGGAGGAAGUUUCAACUGGAGCAGAGUUUGAGUUUUGAUAUUUUAUUGGACUGGAUUUUUUAUGAGCAAAAUAAUAACCCUCUCCUUUUUAUCUAAGAAGGAAGGAAAAACCUGUAAAAUCCAACUGAGAAUUCAUACAUAAGAGUUUCUAAAGGCACUCAUGAGAAAAAAGAAUGCUUCUCUCUUCUUGCACUCUACCAGUUCCAGCUUGUUCAAUAAACUGGAUACAAAAGACUCCCAGGUUUUUGGCCUGGACCACUGAGCAUGUGAUGGUGACAUUUACGGAAAUAGGGAAGGUUUGGGGGAAAAUUUCAGCUUAGAUUGGGGACAUGUUAAGACAUUCAAGUGGAUGUGCUGAGUAGGCUGGUAUUCAGGAGAAAAGACAAGGCUAGAGAGAGAAAUUUGGUAGCCAUCUGUUUUCAGGUAAUGUUUGAAAACAAAGUUGGAUGAGAUCAACUAAGGAGUGAGUAUUCCAACAAGAAGAGUUUCCAGGAUGAGUCCUGGGGCACCAACUGUUUCUAGUCUAGAGGAGAAGGAGUGGCCAGAGAGAGGAGAAGAAGCCAGGGACUGUGGAAUCAGGGAAGCCAGGUGAAGACGUGGUGAUCUGUACAGAGGUUUUAGAAGUAUUGCAAAGUGAGGUCUGAGAAUUGAUGAUUAGAUGUGGCAAGACAAUUUAUUGGUGACUGACAAGAGCAAUCACAGGAAACAUGAGAAAAGCCCCGUGGCAGAGUUGGUUUUUUUUUUUUAAAGGGAAAUUUCCAGUUAAACAUGUCAGAUGGCACAGGCGUUGACUUCCAUUUCCCACCCAAACCCUACUCACAUAAAUUAAUAAAUGAGAUAAAAACUCACAGGGAAAGAAUGGGAGAGAAGGCACCAGUAAGGUCAGACCAGAAAGGUCAACAAGAUUAUAGAGCCUGGGAAUGUAAAGUAAUAACUGACUCAGCAAGCCAGAGAAAGCUGAAGUCUUUUUGUGGGGGUGAAACCAUAAAGAGACCAUUCUUGCCAACAAAUCCCAGGAAGGUGUAGAAACUGGAAGAACUGGUAGAAAGUUGAAUAAGGAGCAGUGUGAUGAUAGAUCCUUUGCCCCACUUUGGUGGAAGCCUGCAGCAGUUGAGUCAGUUGAAUUCAUGCACAAGGCAAUAGCUGAGGGCCACUGAAAGCACUGGACUUGAGUGAAAGUUUAUACUCCUGUAGGAGCCCAGUCCCACUUCUCCCAGUCAGCCAUAUAGCUUCAGGCAGUAGGAGGAUUUCUCUGAAGCAAGAGGCCCCCAAAAAAGACCUGCACACAUUGGCCAACUUGGACCCAGUGGAAAAGCAGAGAAGCUGGCAGGCUGUAUUCUUGACACACAGCUUCCAACAAGCUUCUCAGAGCCCCACUGUCAACAUAAGCCAAGCAUUUAAGGAAAACCUCUACCACAAAAGACAGCAAAACACACAGAAACAGGAAACUUUGAGAAAUGGAGAUGAUAUAAGGUGUGGAAGAGGACUUUUGACAAAAACAUGUGCUCACAGAAAUAGGCUUUUGCACCCAUGAAACAAGAACCAUCUGACACACUCUUUCCCUCCCUGCCUUAUUUUUCUCCCUGUUUAUCACCAACUAGCAUACCAAAUAUUUUGCAUAUUUAUCUUGUUUACUGCCUGUCUAAAAUAUAAGCCAAGCAAAGGCUGAAAUUUAUUUGUUGCCGUAUCCUCAGCACCUGGAAUAAUACCUGGCAUAUAGUAAAUACUCCAAAAUGAUAUACUGAAUAAAUGGACGAAUGAACAGGAGUCUCUAAAUAGAAAACAUUACGAAAAAAGACUCAGAAAUGAAAAAUAUGGCAGACUUUAAAAGUCACUAGAAUAGGAAGAUAGAGAAAUUUUAGGAUAGUUGGAUAAAAAGGAUGUAAAAAAAAAUGAAGAGAAAAGAAAAUUAGAGGAUCAAUCCAGGUGGUCAGGCAUCUGAAUAUUAGGAGUUCCAAAGGGAAAUAAUGGAGAGGAAGAAUAUAUUAAAUAAUUCCAAAAAAUUCCCAGAAUUGGAUAAUUUUCCAAGUUGAAAAAGCACAGCAGAUUGUUUUCCAAAGAUGCCUGCAACACCUCCCAUCUCACGUGCUCCUCUACAAUGUGGUCUUAAACCUUCGUCCCCAUUGAGAAAUGGGAUCUAUGUCCCAUCCCUUGAAUCUGUGAACUGCUUGUGACUGAUACAAUGCAGUGGAAGUGGUCCUGCACUAGUUCCAAAACUGGGCUUGUGUUUUGCUCACUGGGGCACUUGUGUUUGGAGCCCUGAGAUGCCCUGUAAGAAGUCUGACACCUGAGGCCACCUUGCUGUGAGAAAGCCAACCCAUGUGGAGAGGUCAUAUAUAGCUACUCAGGUUGAAAGUCCCAGAUGAGUCCCCUGCCAACAGGGCAACAUUACCUGCCAGCCAUGUGAGUGAGCUAUCUUGGACAUCCAGCCUACUCAAGCCCUCAGUUGACUGCAGCCCAGGGAAUACUUGACUGCAACUGCAUGAGAGAUCCCAAGAGAAAGCUGCCCAGCUGAAUCCUUCCCAGAUUUAAGCUAUUUGGGGUAGUCUGGGCUUGGGGGUAGUUUGUUACACAGCAAUAACUACUGGAAGAAAGCAUUACUAAGUGCUUUUUGUGUACUAAGCACAAUAAAUUGGGCAGGAGAGUAGGGGAGGGAGACCAACACAUCAAGCAUGUUGUUGAAAAAUUUGAGAAUACCAGGUAUAGAAAUGAUCUUAAAAACCUCCAGCAACAAAAAAUAAAAACACAGGGAAUGGUUUCCAAUCUAGAAUUCUACUUCCAUUCAAACAAUGAAUCAAAUAUAAGGGUAGAAAUAAAGACGUUUUAGAUGUGCAAGCUCAGAAGGAUGCUAGAAGAUGGGCUCCAUCAAAGAGAAAGCAAACCAGGGAAGACGAAUAUAAAUGACUCAGAAUCCAGGAAAUGUUCAAGCUGAGGCAGAAAAACAGGUUUCCCAGAGGGUCAUCUCCAAAAGAAAGUGGAGCAGCACAUGACAGUGUUAGGAGCUUUACACCUAGGACGGAGAGUUUUGGGUGAAGUAGUGAUAGGAACACAGAAAACCAUACAAAUGAAAAAACUAGGCAAUUGACUCCAGGAAAAACUGAAAAUUGUACCUAAAGGAAAUGUAAUCAUAAACCAAUACAGGGCUCAAGAGCAAACAGUAUUAAUAUAGUCAUACUGAACUCUGCAGAUUUCAGUCAACAUUAUAUUAAACUGUUUUGGGAGACUAGUAGGAGAGGAAAUGUAGAUAUGUAUGUGUGGGUGAUAGAUGUUGCAGAGAGGGUAGUAUGAGAGAGCUAACUCCUCUUCCAUCGUAGGAAAUCAACAAUGCCUAACAUCAAGAUUAAGAAAUAGCAUUAUUUAAGUCUUUAUUGAUAAACAUGAAGUUAAUCAGUGAAGAAAUCCCUAAAAGAGUUGAAUAUUUGUUUGGGGGAAGCAGGGAUUGGCUAGUAGAUUUGGUGAUGGUGGUGGGAUGAAGUUCUUAGUGCUUUUGUUUUCACAGAAAUAAGAAGCAAGGUCAUUAUCUAAGAAUGUUGGAGUUUUGAAGAGGAUGAGAAGUUAUGAAAUAGUCUGUUGGAGAGUCUAGGGGAUAUAGGAUUAUACUAGGGAGACGCCAAGUGCUAAUUUAAGAUUGGUGGUCAUACUCAGUGUCAAGUCUAUUAAUACCUCUUUCUGUAUA